AUUGAACGCUGGCGGAAUGCUUUACACAUGCAAGUCGAACGGCAGCACGGACUUCGGUCUGGUGGCGAGUGGCGAACGGGUGAGUAAUGUAUCGGAACGUGCCCAGUCGUGGGGGAUAACGUAGUGAAAAUUACGCUAAUACCGCAUACGAUCUAUGGAUGAAAGCGGGGGAUCGCAAGACCUCGCGCGAUUGGAGCGGCCGAUAUCAGAUUAGGUAGUCGGUGGGGUAAAGGCCCACCAAGCCAACGAUCUGUAGCUGGUCUGAGAGGACGACCAGCCACAAGGGAACGGAGACACGGUUCAGACUCCUACGGGAGGCAGCAGUGGGGAAUUUUGGACAAUGGGCGAAAGCCUGAUCCAGCCAUUCCGCGUGCAGGAUGAAGGCCCUCGGGUUGUAAACUGCUUUUGUACAGAACGAAAAGGUUUCUACUAAUACUAGGAGCUCAUGACGGUACUGUAAGAAUAAGCACCGGCUAACUACGUGCCAGCCGCCGCCGUAA
rnacentral:rRNA from 1 species